rnacentral:lncRNA from 1 species
GGGGGGGUGGGUGGGGAGAGGUGGGGAAGAGGGGGAGGGAGGAGGAGGAAGAGCGCCGCAGCCUCGGCAGCUGGAGUCGGAGCAGGGGGGGACGGUUUCAAAAAAUAAUUAAAAAUCGAGGAAAUAGCCUAGCAAAGCCCUUUGGCCGUGAAAACCCCGAGGAGGAGCCAACCUUCCCGAAACGGAGGUUUCGGGGGCCGCCAAGCUGGGACCCUCCCCCCUGCCAUCGGCAUUUACCUGGAAAGGUGCAGCUGCCUGGAGGCUCCAUUCAAAGGGCCCUGCCUGAAGCCCCAAGUCCAGUCCCCUUGGUGAAGCCUGCAAGACCUGCCAAGAGAAGUUACAGCAGAGGCUACUAUUUACGUACCAGCCUCGUUAUCGGUAGGAGUUGCUCUGUCAUCCUGCGCUUUUUACAGGUGAGGAAACUGAGCCUCAGACAGGUUCAUCCAGCUGGUAAGUGGUGGAGCCAGGAUUCGAAACCAAGUCUUGGUGACUCCAAAGCUCAUGCCCUUUUCUCCGUCCUGCCGUCUCUUUCUCCAGCCUCGUUGCCCGUCACUCCUCACCGCCCUUGCUGAAUUACUGCACUCAUGUGCCUCGAGGUGCCUUGCAGCUGAAAACCUCCCAUCUUAUUACGUGGUGUUGCUUCUUGCAAGUGCGAUGCUCAGCUGCCCGCCCAGGAAACUCCAGUUCUUGUUCAGGCAUCUCGUCCUCGGUGGUGUCAUCCCUGACUUCCUUAAACACCUCGUGGUAAUGGAUCCCGCCUCCAGUUAACACUGUGCCUUUUGCAUACUUCUGUUACUCCAUCCAUCAUAUCACAGAGUCUUUAUUUCAUGACCAUCUGAGCCUCUGGAGGGUACCGCGUUUUAUUUGUCAUUGAUACCUUAUCCCCAGUUGCAGUACCUAGUGCUAACAUUUAUGGAGCAUCUUUCAAAGAUUCCCAUGGGUUAUCUCAUUUAACUUUCCUAAUAACUAUAUGAGACAUUAUUUUCCCCAUUUUCCAGAUGAGGAAAUUGAGAUUAAGGGAGCAGUGGCAGCUCCAGAAUUUUAAUCAAUAGGAGAAAUUUACAGUUCACCCUUAGGUUCCAGGGGUCCAGGACAUCUGUCCUAAAGCUGGUCUGCAUAACAAACACGUUUUUUUGUUUUUGUUUUUUUUUUAAAGAUUUAUUUUUUAUUUAUUUCCACCUCCCCCGCGUUGUCUGCUCUCUGUGUCCAUUCACUGUGUGUUCUUCUGUGACUGCUUCUAUCCUUAUCAGCAGCACAGGGAAUCUGUGUUUCUUUUUGUUGCAUCAUCUUGUGUGUCAGCUCUCCGUGUGGGCAGCGCCAUUCCUGGGCAGGCUGCACUUUCUUUCGCGCUGGGCGACUCUCCUUACAGGGCGCGCUCCUUGUGCGUGGGGCUCCCCUACGUGGGGGACACCCCUGCGUGGCACGGCACUCCUUGUGCGCAUCAGCACUGCGCAUGGGCCAGCUCCACAUGGGUCAAGGAGGCCCGGGGUUUUAACCUCGGACCUCCCAUGUGGUAGAUGGACACCCUAUCCACUGGGCCAAAGUCUGCUUCCCA